rnacentral:misc_RNA from 1 species
GGACUACGGGGGUUUCUAAUCCUGUUUGCUCCCCACGCUUUCGUGCCUCAGCGUCAGUAUCGGGCCAGUGAGCCGCCUUCGCCACUGGUGUUCUUGCGAAUAUCUACGAAUUUCACCUCUACACUCGCAGUUCCACUCACCUCUCCCGAACUCAAGAUCUUCAGUAUCAAAGGCAGUUCUGGAGUUGAGCUCCAGGAUUUCACCCCUGACUUAAAGACCCGCCUACGCACCCUUUACGCCCAGUGAUUCCGAGCAACGCUAGCCCCCUUCGUAUUACCGCGGCGGCUGACAC